GAAGGUGUGAUUUUUGGACUUGUUGGUGAAUAUGCUUGUGAAGGGCUAUACCUUGCUGAAGGAUUGUAACUUGGUGAGGUUGGACUGUAAGUUGGUGAGGUGGGACUGUAUCCAGGCGAAGUUGGGCUGUAGGCAGGUGAGGUUGGGCUAUAUGAUGGCGAGGUUGGGCUGUACGAUGGAGAGGUUGGGCUAUAUGAAGGUGAGGUUGGGCUGUAAGAUGGAGAGGUUGGGCUGUAAGAGGGUGAGGUAGGGCUGUAAGAGGGUGAUGUGGGGCUGUAAGACGGAGACGUGGGGCUGUAAGCCGGAGAGGUUGGGCUAUACGCAGGUGAGGUUGGGCUGUAUGCUGGAGAAGUUGGGCUGUAGCUCGGAGAUGUAGGGCUGUAGCUCGGAGAUGUGGGGCUAUAGCUAGGAGAUGUUGGGCUGUAGGAAGGAGACGUUGGUGAAUAAGAUGGGCUUGUGGGAGAAUACGCAGGGCUUGUAGGACUAUAUCCAGGAGAACUAGGACUAUAUGUUGGGGACGUAGGGCUGUAACCAGGGGAAGUAGGACUGUACCCAGGUGAGGUGGGGCUGUAUCCAGGAGAUGACGGGCUGUAUCCAGGAGAUGAAGGGCUGUACCCUGGAGAUGAUGUAGGAGAAAACGCCAUCCCGCCCACAUACGGAGAAAACUGAGCAUCUGAAACAGGAGAUAACCGAAGAUUUGGGCUCAGCAUAUAAUUUGGUGACAUCAUGCCAUCAUGAUAUGGGGUCCCUGAGAUGGGUGAACGGCCAGGAGUCAUGCCAAACUCCAGUCCACCUUCCAUAUAACUGGGCAGAGGGAUCUCAAUAGCUUGUUUAGCAUCUCUUCAUUCAUAUACAAAGCACAAUCACCUGUGCCAAUAGGUGCAAGCUGUCCUAACAUGAUAUUCUCAGUUACACCCCUGAGGUAAUCUGUUUCUGCAUACACAGCAGCAUCAAGAAGAAUGUCCACUGUUUCUUCAAAGGAGCAUCUCAUCAUGGGGCCAGUAUCGUUGCGAUUGAUACCAUGACGGGUGAUGGCCAUCAAGUGACCACGAUAUGUCAUGGUAUCACACAAUAUAGCCAAAUGUCUAUAGUUCACGUAAGACCCAUCAAAUGAUAUGACAACACGCAACUCAUCCAGCAAGGCUUUGCGAACUGCCUCAAUGCCAAGAACUUCAAUAACUUCAAUCAAAUGAUUGCUUGUUGUCCUACUUGCAUCUACAUCUUCAUGGCAAAUUACAGCUAAAAGAUUAACACCUUCGGUGUCAAGCAUCCACUCAUUCUCAGCCUUGAAGCCUUCAUUUUCAUCAAACUUAUUUACCUUGCCAUUCUUUAUGAACACCUUAUUGAUAUCUGGUAUGCCUCGAAGAGCCAUUUCUGUAAGCAUGUUACCCUCAAUCUUUUUGAGGAAGACAUCAUCCUCAGCAGAUUCAUCAUUCAACUCACCUUUAGGGGCUUCAUCAUUCAUAAUACGAAUACGAAGGAUAAGCUUUUCAGCAUUAUCAUCAUUAAAUAUGCACGUUAGAUCACUAUCAAAUUCAGCAUUAAUCUUAUGGGAAAUAUCAGCCAUGUUGAGUUUCUUAUCCACCAUCAUUUCUCUGUUUAACUCUAUGCGAAGCAACCACGGAGAGAUCUUGUCGGGGUCAACAUCAUCAUCUGGCAUCUCAAAGUAGGACGUCACAAAUUCAACAUCUUCCUCAAUAAUAGUGCUCUUAGGAUCUGGAUCGUACCAUACCUCUGUUGCUUGUGUUACACUCCGCAAGGUUGUAUACUCCAGAGCGCACUGGACAUUUUUGGCCUUCUCCUUAGUUUUGCUUACACCAGGCUUCAAGUAUACCGAGAGNAGGUAAUCUGUUUCUGCAUACACAGCAGCAUCAAGAAGAAUGUCCACUGUUCUCAAAGGAGCAUCUCAUCAUGGGGCCAGUAUCGUUGCGAUUGAUACCAUGACGGGUGAUGGCCAUCAAGUGACCACGAUAUGUCAUGGUAUCACACAAUAUAGCCAAAAUGUCUAUAGUUCACGUAAGACCCAUCAAAUGAUAUGACAACACGCAACUCAUCCAGCAAGGCUUUGCGAACUGCCUCAAUGCCAAGAACUUCAAUAACUUCAAUCAAAUGAUUGCUUGUUGUCCUACUUGCAUCUACAUCUUCAUGGCAAAUUACAGCUAAAAGAUUAACACCUUCGGUGUCAAGCAUCCACUCAUUCUCAGCCUUGAAGCCUUCAUUUUCAUCAAACUUAUUUACCUUGCCAUUCUUUAUGAACACCUUAUUGAUAUCUGGUAUGCCUCGAAGAGCCAUUUCUGUAAGCAUGUUACCCUCUAAUCUUUUUGUAGGAAGACAUCAUCCUCAGCAGAUUCAUCAUUCAACUCACCUUUAGGGGCUUCAUCAUUCAUAAUACGAAUACGAAGGAUAAGCUUUUCAGCAUUAUCAUCAUUAAAUAUGCACGUUAGAUCACUAUCAAAUUCAGCAUUAAUCUUAUGGGAAAUAUCAGCCAUGUUGAGUUUCUUAUCCACCAUCAUUUCUCUGUUUAACUCUAUGCGAAGCAACCACGGAGAGAUCUUGUCGGGGUCAACAUCAUCAUCUGGCAUCUCAAAGUAGGACGUCACAAAUUCAACAUCUUCCUCAAUAAUAGUGCUCUUAGGAUCUGGAUCGUACCAUACCUCUGUUGCUUGUGUUACACUCCGCAAGGUUGUAUACUCCAGAGCGCACUGGACAUUUUUGGCCUUCUCCUUAGUUUUGCUUACACCAGGCUUCAAGUAUACCGAGAGAGAGGGUGUUUUAAUUUUCUUAGCAACAUUAAUAAUCUCCCUCAACCUUGGAACACCUAAAGUUAACAAUUCUUGGCACUCACACCAGCAUAGUGAAAUGUAUUGAGGGUCAUCUGUGUAGCAGGUUCACCAAUGGAUUGUGCAGCAACACAUCCUAUCAUUUCACCAGCAGCAACAAGUGACUGAAGAAAACGGGAUUCUAUCUCGCCAACUACCCAGUCAAAAGCCUCACGGGUAAGUCUGUACUCCUUCAGGACCCUUUUACUUGCUAAAGCACUACGAAGCAAUAUAUUGAAGAAAAGAGUAGCAUUCUUCUGUGCUUCCAAACUCAGAUAAUCAUCACCAACAACCACCUUAAGCCUUUCUUGUAACUUAUCAACAGCUUCUACAAUCUCCAUUGGAUGCAUAUCAGACGGUCUCCGAAAAUCAACUCUAAAGGUCUUCUGUGCAUUCAAAACAAGCCUCUUGAUGUUGACAGGGAGGGGCCAAGAAUUGUCACCCGUGGUGGCAAUCUCUGUUCCAAGUUGAUACCUAUCGGCUUCAAGUUUCUGAACCUCUGCAUCAAACACACUGCGGAUUUCACGAAUCGUUUUCAGAUCUUCCACAGCUUCAGGUAACAUAUAAUUAGGAUUCCAGUUUGGGUGAUCAAUCUCAUAUUUGUACAUGUCAUUGAAAUCCGAUCUCUUCAACUUCAGUGAUUCCAAAGGCUGUGAUUCAAUCCAAACUGCAUCCAUACCAUCUUCCCCGUACAGAAACUGAAUCACAUCACCUAACGAAUUCCUAACAGUCCCAUCAUACUUAACCAUGAUAUCUUCCAUAGCCUUCACCAAUCGCCUCUGAAUAUAUCCAGUCUCAGAAGUUUUCACUGCAGUGUCAAUAAGACCUUCCCUACCACCCAUGGCAUGGAAAAAGAACUCUUGAGGAGACAAUCCUCGAAGAUAUGAGUUCUCCACAAAACCACGACUCUCUGGACCAUAAUCAUCUUUGGUGAAGUGUGGAAGUGUGCGAUCCACAAAACCAAAAGGAAUUCGCUUGCCUUCAACAUUCUGCUGACCCACACAUGCAGUCAUCUGAGAAAUAUUGAUGAAACUUCCCUUAGACCCUGCAGUGACCAUAGCUUUGAGGUUGUUACUUUCUGCCAAGCUCUUCUGAGCACUGCUUCCAGCAUCAUCACGAGCCUUAUUCAACACCUGAAGGCACAAAACAUAUAUAAGGGAAUCACCAGGCUGCAGCAAGGAAAUCAAAAUUUUUAACAAACCUGGUUAACUCUGUUCUCGAACGAUUCCAUCAUUGUUCUUCCUGGCUCAGCUUCCAAUUGCUUUUCUUGUGCAGCCCUGAUAAGUUCAUUCACCUCAUUCUUAGCUUUGUUAAUAGUUUCAGAGAUCUUCGUCAUUGUAUCAUGAUCAGCAAUUGUAUCUCCAAUUCCCAUGCUAAAAGCGUUCUGCAAAAGCCAAUAAUUGACCAGCCAUUGUGUAUGUCCCAAAAAUUUCCGAGCUGCAUCUGGACCGACUUCUUCCCUGAGACCAGUAUACAUUAUAUUAAACACAUAAAUAUGAAUAAAGAAUCUUUCGGGCUUUCAGUUCAUUAUUAUAAUAUUUAUUACUCCUUGUUUCAUGUGCCAUAUCAUAUGUUUUGAUGUCACAAAUGCUAUAAUAUUCACACAGAAGAGCUACUAGAGUGGAGGAAGACUGAUAUAUGCAAAAGCUAAAUUGUUAAAGAGUACAGAAAUUUUCAAUAAGAUACUCAUGUAGUUUUAAACUUCUGAAGAAAAUUAAUCUUCUCUUCUACAAAUUCCGAUGGAGUAAGCAAAGGAACACUUUCUUGAAAUGGCAUUAGUUUUAUUGAUAUCUAUAAUGAGUGCAAGCAUGGAGAUUGAUAAAGUGUUUUGUCUGCAAAGAAACAGUACCCAUUUUUUUGUGCCAAAAGGAGAAUCUUUUUGCUAGUGAAAAGAGAGGGUAUUUCAUUGGUAACUCAAGCAAGUUCUUUUGAAAGUAUUACUUCUUCAAUCAACAUAUUGCGAGUUCUGACUCAUUUGCGAGAUCCUAGAAUAUAUAAAUAAAAGACACCAACUUCAUUUAAAGUAUUUGCAUACAUAUGCUCCCAAUCCCCAUUGCCCAUAGAGCAAUGGACCAAUUUAAUACAACAUGAAUUCUUCAGAAGAUAAAAGUGAAAGUCAUGCUUUUGCUCUUAAAUUUAAGGUUGAACGAAAAAUGUGACCCGCAAACAGCCCCAUACCUCCAUUUUACCCAACUUUCCACUUAUUACAUUUUGCUACUAGAUACUUCAGGUAUGUUACCCGCAAUCAGCCCCAAUUCAUAAUAUGGAUAAGUUGGGUGGGCGUUUAGGAGACAAUAGUUUCCUUUCAAAACCCACCAAAUGCAGAAAUGGUACUGCAAAAAUUCCAGAAAGAACGUACCAAAUAACAUGUAUGAGACUUCCACUAGAUGACCCGAGUGUUUUCUUGCAUAGGGUGCCUGAAAGUAACUCCCCUUUUUCUAUCCGUACUUGAGUAUCCCCAGGAGUAAUAAAUCCUUUUUCAGUUUCUUGAUGCCAUGAAGAAUACCUUAAUAGAUUUAUCUGUCUUGGAAUGAUUAAAUUAAAUACUUGUUUCCCAGUCCAAAGAGGCUUAGGUUUCAGAAUUGUUGGAGCAGGUACUUUGCCAUCAAAAUCCUCCCACCACAUAAGGAUGUUCAUAAAAACAUCCUGCGAACAAUACAGACAGCGAUAUCAGAUUGAAUGUGGACACUUACCUAAAAAUUACAUAAUGAUGACAGAAAAUCAAAUGUUACCUUGUCAAUAAAAGUAUCUCUCUUAGUGAUUUUGCGACAUCCUAGUAGUGUAUCCUGCACAAUACCCAUUACAGGUCGAUUUGAUUGAGGUGACACGAUGCAUUUUGGAACCAUCAUUAAUUCCAGAACUUCGGCUCUAGUUUCAAAUGACUGGGGCACGUGCAUAUUCAUUUCAUCUCCAUCAAAAUCAGCAUUGUAGGGUGAGGUAACAGACAGAUUUAAGCGGAAUGUUGAAUAUGGCAUAAUCUUGAUUCUGUGGCCCAUAAUGGACAUCUUAUGGAGACUCGGUUGCCGAUUGAACAGGACAAAGUCUCCAUCAUUUAAAUGUCUCUCAACCUGUACCAUCAAAUAAUAGGAAUCAGGUGUCAAAAGGAAUCCAAUGCUUGAUCAUUCUCAAUUAUAUAGCUGGGAGUCUCACCUUAUAUCCAAGUUCUAGAUGCUGAUCACUACUCUUUUUCAAGUACCGGAGAUCAAGCCUCUGUCCAUCAUCCCUAAUAAUAUAUUUUGCGCCAGUUUUACCAGGAGGGGGAUGAGGUCCAUAUUCCACAAGCUCUUUCAAUCUAUUUUCAAGGUCAAUAUCUGGUUAACAAGAAUAACCAAAAAGUAUAGAGGGAUCACUAUCAAGAAAUAUGGUAAGAGUGCCUAACCUUUCGAUGUUAUAUGGAGUUACAGUUUCAGGAUAUGUAAGAUUUAAGGCAAUACUCCAAGGCACACCCAGCUGGUCGAUGUUGAUUGUUGGGUCAGGUGUAAUCACAGUCCGAGCCGAAAAAUCUACUCGCUUACCCAUCAAGUUACCUCUGAUCCUACCAUCUUUUGCCUUAAGCCUGCUACAUAUUGAUUUAAUGGGUCUGCCAGAUCUUUGGGUAGCCUGAUGUAUACAAGGAUACUUCACUUGUUAGAUAAAUGAUGUUCCAGGAACUGCAUCCACAGUCUCAAUAUACUGAAAUAAUAUAACAUACUCUUGGUUGACCAGGUAAAUCGUUAUCAAAGUAUGUAGCCACAUGGAACUGCAGCAACUGUGCAAACUCAGAGAUGAUGUGUGCAGGAGCCCCAUUCCGCUCCUGCCUCUUUAAGUUCUCAUUAUGCCUAAUGAUCAUGGCCAGUUGAUGAGUUAAAUCAUCCUGCAUAAAUUGAUUCAAUUAUUAGAUUCUCCUGCAACUUAAAAGCAGCAAUCCGAGGAACAUGCAAUUGAUUGACUUGAUCAGUUUGCAGUGAACAGAACCCGAUACACUUAUCUGACCUAAAGGAACAAUUAGGGGUAAUCUAAACACCCAUGACAUUGUAGAGAUCAAAAGGAGAAGUCAUGCCUCACUCCGAGAAGAAGUAUCCAUCAUUACAGAAGGCCUAACUGGAGGAGGAGGGAUUGGAAGAACUUGAAGAAUCAUCCAGUCAGGGCGAGCAUAUUUUGGAUUCAAGCCCAACAACUGACAAUCUUCAUCAGUAAUUCUCUUCAGUAUGCUGAGCACCUGAAACAAAAAGGAAAUAGAGAUUGUUGGGAUUAGCGCAUAAAUCAAUCUAUCACAUUAUCCAGGCUGGAAAAAAAAGUUUGAAUCCCUAUUCUCUGGCAAUUUAUGAUAUAUGAUACCUUCUCUGCAGAGAGAAGUUGUUUUCGUUCAACAGGUUCAGGCAUCUGGUCCUGGUCAUCACUUUUCUUCUUCUGAAUCUUGUAUUCAGCAACCAUUUUCAUCCCAUCUAUAGAAAUCUUUGGCUGCUGAGCACCGCAUCCACCCCUAGACUUCUUCACAGGUUCUUCCGAAUCUUGACCUCGCACAUCGAUCUCAUCACCUCCUUCACAUUUGGAUUUGUUUUUGCAGGCAUCUAAUAUCUUCUUUAAUCUAUUCUUAGGGUUUCUAAUUCUCAUUGCUUGCUUGAACUUGGGAUCGUCCUAGAAAAAUUAACAAGGGAUCAAAAUACAUUGCAAAAGAAAACGAUUGUUCCAACUUCCAAGUAACUUUAUUUCCAUUUGAAGUAUAAUAUUCAGGCAAUAAUGAAAAUAACUAACUUUUACAACAGCAACACUCCUAGGAGAUGCAUCCAGAUGAUGAAAUACCUCAAACUGCUUCUAUCUUACCAAUAUGCAUUUCUAUAAAAGUAACACAAUUAUUGAAGACAUAACAGAACCUAGAAGCCUAAAACUGGAUCGUUGCUAGUCAUAAGUCUUACUAUCCAGUCACUCUUGCAAGUAAUAAGAAUGUUACAAUUAAAUCAGUUGCCCAGUUCAGGAUGGUCAUGAAUAAGACAGAAGUCUGACCCUCCUAGUAUACGAACAUAUACAUGAAAUAAGCAUUUUCCGUGAAUCCAGCAUAUGUUAUACACUUCUGAAAAAUUCAGUCUGCUACUCAGGCCUCACAACAGCGGAAUCAAUAGUCAUACCCAAUAUGAACCAAGUGAGCAUGACUGUACAAAUUCAUACUACUUAAACCGAAAACGUCCAUAACUUCAAUCUAACUACUCGGGAAAUGUACAAUACCUCAUCCGCUAAAAUCUUAGAGCAAUUGAAGCAGACACUGCGGAGAAUACUGAGCACAGUCUUCAUGAAGCCAAUGUGAAACAUAGGUUUGGCGAGCUCAAGGUGACCGAAGUGACCGGGGCAGUCAGCCAUGUUCGCCAUACAAGUCUCGCACUUCAUCUUCCGAUCAAUCGUCCCCAGACGCGGGUCGCUCAAACCACCGAUCUUCGGCUUGCCUCUUUCCGUCGUCUCGCUGUGCUCUAUAUGCACAACAGACAUUUGUCUCUACAAAACACACCAUAAAACAAUAGACCAUCAUUUCCAACUCAAUCACACACUCAAUGCCGAAACUGAAAGUUCAAAACAUUCAAAGAAGUGAGAAUUACGAUCUCAUCGGGGCUGAGAAUGCCGAAUUGGACGACGCGGACUUUCGCGACCUCUGCCGGCGAGAAGGGGAACCGCAGAUCCAUUGCGACACCGGAGAUUCUACCCUAGGGUUUUCGAUUAUGAUUUAUUAUGCUAGCUGAUAUAUAAUAAUUCCAAAAUUAGAAACAAAUAUGGUUUUCAAGUACUUCAAAUUAUUCGCGGUUUCUGUUAAGUAACUGAUUUUUGGGGUUUUUGAAGAAAACUUUUUUCACGCUGCGCUCUUCUCUGAAGGAGGAGAGGCGGCUUUGAGACCAAAGAAGAGAAUGAGGGGUUGAAGGGGUAUUUAAAGAGAUGGAUGGCUUCGAAGUCGGCGCUUAAUGGGGUUGUUUGGCUACACAGUUAUGAGCUGGACAUCUUCCUCUCGUUUGGUCCAUCUAUUAAAAAAUCUUCUUAAUCUAUUUUUAAACAUAAUUUCAUCAACUAUUAUCCUUAUAAUUUUCAUUUUUUGUAAGACUCAUUUUUCACUUAUCAAGUAUACAAUUAAUUUUUAUUAAAAUUCAUGUCACCCUCCUUUAUAAAGAUCUUUGAGAAAUGAAGGGAGUGUUAAUUCCAAAUAUUUGGUAAAAUAAGUACAUAAAUACUCAUUUCGUCCCAACUUUUAGUAUCAAUUUAAGAAUGACACGUGUUUUAAUAAAGUUGUUAAGUGUGUUGUGAGUGGAAUAAGGGUCUCGCAUUUUACGUGAAUGUUAAAAUAAUUAAAGUGGAGUAAGGGUCUCACCUACUUUUACUAAAAAUAAAAAUGAAUAUCAAAAUAUGGAACGGCCAAAAAAGGAAAUAUGAAUACUAAAAGUUGGGACGAAGAUAGUAGUUUACAAGCUCUACAAAUAAGUUUCUACAAUUUAUAAGCUUUUCAAACUACAAACUUUUUACCAUAAAUUACUUUUUCAUAAUUUUAUACUUCCUUCAUCCCAAUUCNCUUAUAAUUUUUCAUUUUUUUGUAAGACUCAUUUUUUCACUUAUCAAGUAUACAAUUAAUUUUUAUUAAAAUUCAUGUCACCCUCCUUUAUAAAGAUCUUUGAGAAAUGAAGGGAGUGUUAAUUCCAAAUAUUUGGUAAAAUAAGUACAUAAAUACUCAUUUCGUCCCAACUUUUAGUAUCAAUUUAAGAAUGACACGUGUUUUAAUAAAGUUGUUAAGUGUGUUGUGAGUGGAAUAAGGGUCUCGCAUUUUACGUGAAUGUUAAAAUAAUUAAAGUGGAGUAAGGGUCUCACCUACUUUUACUAAAAAUAAAAAUGAAUAUCAAAAUAUGGAACGGCCAAAAAAGGAAAUAUGAAUACUAAAAGUUGGGACGAAGAUAGUAGUUUACAAGCUCUACAAAUAAGUUUCUACAAUUUAUAAGCUUUUCAAACUACAAACUUUUUACCAUAAAUUACUUUUUCAUAAUUUUAUACUUCCUUCAUCCCAAUUCAAUAGGCCACAAGACAAGGCUUGGACAUGGAUAUUAAGAAGCGAAUAGUUUAUAAUAAAAUACGAGAGAGAAAGUAGCUUUUUUUAGAGUAAAUUUGUGAAAAAAGUAGGAGAGAGUAGAGAUAAUUUUGUGGGAUCACAAUGAUAUUUGAUGUACAUAAUGAGUUGUGCGAAGGUGUUUGUUAUAUACUAUGAUUUUUUAUUUUAGGAAGUGACCUAUUGAAUUGGAACGUCCAAAUAAGGAUUCAUGACAUAUUUAAAUGGAACUGAGGGAGUAAUAUAUUUUACAAAAAUUAUUCAAUUAUACUUUAUUACUAUUUUCAUCAUAUACACUUUAAACCACUUUGCAAAAAUUAACUCAAUCAUAUAAAUACUUUCACAACUUAUAAGCUCUUACAAAAAUACAUUUUUAAAAUUUUUGAAACAUUUUAUAAAUUGCUACAAUUAUAAAUUUCUUAAAAUAAGCUUAUCCAAACAUCCCCUUAAUUCUACAACAAAAUUUUAACAAAUGGAGUAUAAAUGAGCUAUGAUUGGUAACAUAUUUUUCCUACAAAAAUAAUAAGCGAUAGGUAACAUAACUAGCGUGGGAACUAAGAAUCAAUCUGGUCUAUUAAUUUGAUUAAAUGAUCAUGAUUGAUUUCCAUAUUGAACAAUACAUAUAUAUGAUAAUGCAUCAGUUUAUGCCAGAAAUUAUGCCAUGCUGAUAAAUAAUACUCCAUUCGUCCCAAACGAAAUGUCCUAUUUCUUUUCGGUACGGAAAUUAAGAAAUGUGUAUAAAAUAGAUUAAGUGGGUUGGUGAAAAUUAUUUAAAUAUUAAGUAUAGAGAGAGAGUGUAGUGCCAAAAAAGGAAACAUGACAUUUCGUUUGAGAUAGCCCAAAAAGGAAAACAGUACAUUUCGUUUGGAACGGAGGGAGUAUAGUGCAUACUUAUAAUAAACAACGUAGUUUUAAGUGUGGUGCCCACUUCGGGGGAGCUUGUUGGAUUUAUAAUAAACGACGUAGUUUUCAUAUAUACAAAAAAUCCUCUUCCAUUGAGAUGGUUUCUUACAUUCUUGGCUUCAGCUGCGCAUGGCUUAUCUAUGCAUGCAUUAUUUUAGUUAUAAGCAAUUUAGUAAAUAAAAUAACAAAAUGGAUGGAUUAACAUUGCCACAAAACAUGAUGACACUAUUAGUAUUUUACUUCAAAGGGGAAGAAAAAAAAACUUUAUACGAAUGAAAGAAUGCCAUGUUAAACAAUCUCUCUUAGCCAAAUUGGAAAGCUAUGAGACCAAACAAAUGGACUACAAAUUAAAAAAGAGGUUAUAAAGUGACACGGGACUUAUACGCCACGUGCGGAGUUCAGCUGCCCGACUGCCGGAGUUCAGCUGCCCGACUGCCGGCCUGGUAUGAAAAUGAUUGGGUUAGGGUAGGGUGUCCCAUGCAACAAAUCCUCAUUCCACCUUCCCUUUGUCAGUUUCAUUUACCACACUAAGCCAUGUAAACAAUACCAACACAAUCACAAAAUCAGCAAAUCUAUUCGAACUCGCUUGGCCUAUGGUGAAAGCAGGAUGGAAAAGAAAGCAAAAUAAGCAAAGGUAAAUAUACCUGCUUGGACUGGAAGGAGAAAAAGAUGGUGAUGUUGGGCUGCAAAACCACAGAAAAUAAUAUGUCAAGGUAGCAUUUGAAAGAGAGUUUCACCAGUUCAGAAUAUAUCCUAGUCUUGUCGGGGAAAUAAAACAAAAAGAGUAAUACUCUAGGGAACAAUUUAUCCAGCUUCCUCUGUGGACAAUCAAGUAUAGAAACAGAGUAAUACAUUUAACCAAGGUUAUAUUUGUUAGCAAACUUGAAGAGCAAAAAUUAAAAUAAGGCUUGCCAAAAGUUACCUGAGACUCGGAGAAUAUGGACUGUACGGACUUGAAGGUGUGAUUUUUGGACUUGUAGGUGAAUAUGCUUGUGAAGGGCUAUACCUUGCUGAAGGAUUGUAACUUGGUGAGGUCAGACUGUAAGUCGGUGAGGUGGGACUGUAUCCAGGUGAAGUUGGGCUGUAGGCAGGAGAGGUAGGGCUGUAUGAAGGUGAGGUUGGGCUGUACGAUGGAGAGGUUGGGCUGUAAGAUGGUGAGGUUGGGCUGUAAGAGGGAGACGUGGGGCUGUAAGCCGGAGAAGUUGGGUUAUAAGCAGGUGAGGUUGGGCUGUAAGAGGGAGACGUGGGGCUGUAAGCCGGAGAAGUUGGGCUAUACGCAGGUGAGGUUGGGCUGUAUGCUGGAGAAGUUGGGCUGUAGCUCGGAGAUGUAGGGCUGUAGCUCGGAGAUGUGGGGCUAUAGCUAGGAGAUGUUGGGCUGUAGGAAGGAGACGUUG
rnacentral:lncRNA from 1 species